ACUUUUAACAACAGAUCUCUUAGUUCUAGCAUUAAUAAAGAACGCAGCGAAAUACAAUAAGUAGUGUAAAUUAUAGAAUUUAGUAAAUUAUUAAAUCUUUAAACGCACAUUGCGCCCCUUAGUAUUCUAUAGGGCAUGCCUGUUUAAGCGUUAUUUAUACCCUUAAGCUCUACUUAGUGUUAGGUAUUUAUUCUACUUAGGACUCGCCUUAAAAUAAUUAGCAGCUAGCAUAUUAGCCUAGAGCGCAGCAUAUUUUGCGCCUCUUAUUAUAGUUGUUAGCAUCUAUUAAGACACUUUUUAAGCUCUUAACCUUAGAUUAGGUAGGGAUACCCGCUAAACUUAAGCAUAUUAAUAAGCAGAGGAAAAGAAACUAAUAGGGAUUGCCCUAGUAACGGCAAGUAAAGCGGCAAUAGCUUAAAUUUAAAAUCUAGCUCUUUUAGGGUCUAAGUUAUAAUUUGCAGAGGGCGCUUUAGCGUUAGCAGUGGUCUAAGUUCCUUAGAAUAGGACGUCACAGAGGGUAAGAAUCCUGUACGUAGUCGCUAGCCUUUACCGUGUAAAGCCCCUUUAACAAGUUAAGUUAUUUAGGAAUAUAGCUCUAAAUAGGAGGUAAAUUUCUUCUAAAGCUAAAUACUAGCUAGAGACUAAUAGCGCACAAGUAGAGUAAUUAAAAGAUAAAAAGUACUUUAGAAAGAGAGUUAAAUAGCACGUAAAAUUGUUAAAAGGGAAGCGCUUGCAGCUAGACUUGCCUGUAGUUACUUAUCUAGGCUUUUGUCUAGUGCACUCUUCUAUAGGCAGGCUAGUAUUAGUUUAGGCAGUUAGAUAAAGGUCUCUGUUACGUACCUCCCUUUAGGGAGGCCUUAUAGGGGAGAUAAUAUGCAACUAGCCUAGACUAAGGUCUACGUAUCUACUAGGAUGCUAGCGUAAUAGCUAUAAGCGGCCUGUCUUAAAAUAUAGACUAAGGAGUCUAAUAUCUAUGUAAGUGUUUAGGUGUUAAGCCUAGACGCGUAAUAAAAGUAAACAGAGGUAGGACCCCUUUUAGGGUGCACUAUUAACUAAUCCUAAUAUCUUUAGAAGGAUUUAAGUAAGAGUAUAGCUAUUAGGACCUAAAAGAUAGUGAACUAUGCUUAAAUAGGGUAAAGCUAGAGGAAACUCUAGUAGAGGCUUAUAGUGGUUCUAACGUGCAAAUUAAUCGUUAAAUUUAGGUAUAGGGGCGAAAGACUAAUUAAACUAUCUAGUAGCUAGUUCCUGCUAAAGUUUCCCUUAGGAUAGCAGUAACGUAUUUAGUUUUAUAAGGUAAAGCAAAUAAUUAGAGGCCUAGGGGUUAAAACAACCUUUACCUAUUCUUAAACUUUAAAUAUAUAAGAAGUCCUUAUUACUUAAUUAAAUAUAGACACUUAAAUAUACUAUUACUAGUAGGCUAUUUUUAGUAAGCAGAACUAGCAAUAUAGGAUAAACUAAACGUAGGGUUAAAGUGCUAGAAUGCACGCUUAUUAGACACCACAAAAGGUGUUAGUUUAUCUAGAUAGCAGGAUAGUAGCUAUAAAAGUUAGAAUCUGCUAAGGAGUGUGUAAUAACUCACCUGCUAAAUAAACUAGCCCUAAAAAUAAAUAGCGCUUAAGCGUGUUACCUAUACCCCGCUGCUAGGGCAAGAUUUAAGCCCUAGCGAGUAGGCAGGCGUAGAGGCUUGUGACAAAGCCUUAGGGGUAACCCUAGGUAGAACAGCCUCUAGUGUAGAUCUUAGUAGUAGUAGCAAAUACUUAAAUAAGAACUUUAAGGACUAAAGUAGGGAAAGGUUCUGUGUAAACAGUAGUUAGACACAGGUUAGUUAAUCCUAAGAGAUAGGGUAAUUCUGUUUUAAUGUUAGCGCUUACGCCACGCCCUUAAAAGGGAAGCUAGUUAAUAUUCUAGCACCUAGAUAUAGAUUCUCUGCGGCAACGCAACUAACAGUAGAGACCUUAGCGGGAGCCCUAAGAAGAGUUCUCUUUUCUUCUUAAUAGUCUGUUACCCUAAAAUUAGUUUAUCUAGAGCUAGGGUUUAAUAGCUAGAAGAGCGCUGUACUUUUACAGUAUUUAGUGCGCUCCUAACAAGCCUUAAAAAUCUACUUAAAGAAAUAGUUUUUACGCUAGGUUAUACUUAUAACUGCAGCAGGUCUCUAAGGUAAAAAGCCUCUAGUUAAUAGAACAAUAUAGAUAAGGGAAGUUAGUAAAAUAGAUCUGUAACUUUAGGAAAAGGAUUAGCUCUAAGGGUUAGGUACGUUAGGCCUUAGGGAGAAGCCUCUAGCGCAGAAGGGCACUAACUGCAAGGUGGGCGCCUCUUAGCGCUAGGGUGUAGACACCCUUAGUAGGUUUUGGCUGUCUAGCGUACGUUUAAUAACUAACUUAGAACUAGUAUAGAUAAGGGGAAUCUAACUAUCUAAUUAAAACAUAGUAUUACAAUAGCUAGAAAGUAGUAUUAAUAUAAUGUGAUUUCUGCCUAGUGCUCUAAAUAUUAAAGCAAAGAGAUUUAACUAAGCGCAGGUAAAUAGCAGGAGUAACUAUAACUCUCUUAAGGUAGCUAAAUGCCUUAUUAUCUAAUUAGUGACGCGCAUAAAUAGAUUAAUAAGAUUCCUACUAUCCCUAUCUACUAUCUAGCGAAACUAUAGCUAAGGGAACAGGCUUAGCUAAAUUAGUGGGGAAAGAAGACCCUAUUAAGCUUAACUCUAGUUUAACAUUAUAAAAAGAUAUAGGGGGUGUAGAAUAGGUAGGAGCUUUAGCGCUAGUAAAAUACUACUACCCUUAUCGUUUUUUUACUUAUUUAAUAAAGUGGAGCUAGGCCUUACUACCUAACUUCUAGCGUUUAAGGUCCUUUAUAGGCUAAUCUAGGUUAAAGAUAUUAUUAGGUAGGGAGUUUAGCUAGGGCGGCACAUCUAUUAAACUAUAACGCAGGUGUCCUAAGGGGGACUUAUAGAGAAUAGAAAUCUCUAGUAGAGUAAAAGGGCAAAAGUCCCCUUAAUUUUAAUUUUUAGUGUGAAUACAAACUAUAAAAGUGUAGCCUAUUAAUCCUUUAGUCCCUUGAAAUUUAAGGCUAGAGGUGCUAGAAAAGUUACUAUAGGGAUAACUGGCUUGUGGCAGCCAAGCGUUUAUAGCGACGUUGCUUUUUAAUCCUUUAAUAUUAGCUCUUCCUAUUAUACUAAAGCAGAAUUUAGUAAGCGUUAGAUUGUUUACCUACUAAUAGGGAACGUAAGCUAGGUUUAGACUAUUAUAAGAUAGGUUAGUUUUACCCUACUAAUAACCUUACCCUAAUAGUAAUACCGCUUAGUACAAGAGGAACUGCAGUUUUAGAUAAUUAGUUUUUGCGGCUAUCUAACUAGGUAUUGCCACAAAGCUACUAUCUACUAGAUUAUAGCUAAACGCCUCUAAGUUAGAAUCUAUGCUAGAACAGGGUAAUUUCUGCCUGCACUAGUUAGAUAUAAAUAGGCCUUUAGCCCAGAACCUUACUAGAUUAGCGUUAGCAGCCCUAUUAAAGUUAGAGUUGUUAGCAAGUGUAUUGCAAUUAUACAGUGCGUAGGAUUAAAUCCUUUAUAGAUAACUUAGUUAUCUAGCUAGGUCGUGUAAGUAGUUAAGUAGCCUUAUUAUUACAAGCUACUAAGCGUAAGCCUGUUGCUAGCUUGGUUAAAAUUAGGAUAUUAUACCCUUCUUAUUUGCAAAACUGCUGCCUAAACGGCUGCUAUUAAUAGAAGGAAGAGGGCUAUAGCUAACAUGUUAUAUAGCAAUUGCAAGAUAGCAAGGGCUAGAGCUAGAAGCAAUCCUUACAAAAUAUACAAAAGAACAGGUUAUGUGUGUACGUACCUUAGGCAGUUAAAUUAUAGCAUAUAAAGAUUAAGAAAGGACAUAAAAUAAUCUAUAUAUAUUUUUAGGUAGUGUUCUAUAACUUAGGGCGUUCUAUAACCCUUUAUUUUUUAGGGGUAGUGUUCUAUAACUUAGGGCGUUCUAUAACUUUUUAUUUUUAGGGGUAGUGUUCUAUAACUUAGGGCGUUCUAUAACCUUUUAUUUUUUAGGGGUAGUGUUCUAUAACUUAGGGCAUUCUAUAACUUUUUAUUUUUAGGGGUAGUGUUCUAUAACUUAGGGCGUUCUAUAACCUUUUAUUUUUUAGGGGUAGUGUUCUAUAACUUAGGGCGUUCUAUAACUUUUUAUUUUUAGGGGUAGUGUUCUAUAACUUAGGGCGUUCUAUACUUAAAAAAUCUUAUAGGCUAUUCUAUAACUAUAGAUUAUUCUAAACCUUUAGGGCAUUCUAUUAAUGUUUUAAAAAAUCUAGUAGGCUAUUUUAUAAGCUUAUAGCGUUCUAUAACUUUAGGGCGUUCUAUAACUUAGGGCGUUCUAUAACUUAGGGCGUUCUAUAACUUUUUACUUCUUAGGGGUAGUGUUCUAUAACUUAGGGCGUUCUAUACUUAAAAAAUCUUAUAGGCUAUUCUAUAACUAUAGAUUAUUCUAAACCUUUAGGGCAUUCUAUUAAUGUUUUAAAAAAUCUAGUAGGCUAUUUUAUAAGCUUAUAGCGUUCUAUAACUUUAGGGCGUUCUAUAACUUAGGGCGUUCUAUAACUUAGGGCGUUCUAUAACUUUUUACUUCUUAGGGGUAGUGUUCUAUAACUUAGGGCGUUCUAUACUUAAAAAAUCUUAUAGGCUAUUCUAUAACUAUAGAUUAUUCUAAACCUUUAGGGCAUUCUAUUAAUGUUUUAAAAAAUCUAGUAGGCUAUUUUAUAAGCUUAUAGCGUUCUAUAACUUUAGGGCGUUCUAUAACUUAGGGCGUUCUAUAACUUAGGGCGUUCUAUAACUUUUUAUUUUUAGGGGUAGUGUUCUAUAACUUAGGGCGUUCUAUAACCUUUUAUUUUUUAGGGGUAGUGUUCUAUAACUUAGGGCGUUCUAUAACUUUUUAUUUUUAGGGGUAGUGUUCUAUAACUUAGGGCGUUCUAUACCUUUUGUUUAUUCUAUUACUUUAGUGCUUUCUAUAACUUUAGACUAUUCUAUAAUAGUAGCUAUUAUAUCCUUUUUAUAAUCCUUAUAGUAUUAUACUAUUAUCUAUUAUUCUUUACUCUUAAGUAUAUCCUUAUAUUUUAUAAAUCUUUUUCUUUACUAGCUAGUCCUACUAUACUUUUUUAUAACCUACUAGUAUUAAAUAAUACCUUUAUAUUCUUCCUCUAUACUAUCUCUAUUUCUUGCCUUAUAUAUUAAGUAGAUAUAGAUAGAGCUAAUAGAUCUAUAGUUAAUAUAGAUAAAGUAGUUAUAGUAGAGUAUAGAUAUUAGAGUAGAGAUCCUUAUCUAUAUAUUUACCUACUACUAAUAGAAUUCUAAGUUACUCUUAUCUAGCGAAUACGGGUUUAUAGUUUUUAUAGGGCUGCGCAUAUCUACACAGUUUUAUAUAUAAAAAAGUGUACCUAUAAGCUAUUUUCUGCUACACUAACCCCGCGACGCAAAAAUUAAACUAAAACCUGUUCCUAUAAUAUAUAAGGAGGGCAAAUAGAUUCUUAAAUACUAAAUGCCUAACUAACUAACUAAGGUUAAAUCUGCUGCGCGCAGUUCUUAGAUUAGGCAGUUAAACUAGCGUUAUUAGGCACUAAGGGGGCAAUUUUUGCUUGUGUCCGCGUCUAUACUCCCUAUAACUCCCUAUUGUUAGCGCUCUACGCCUAUUUUAGUGGUAGUUAGACUAAAUUUAAAAGUUUUAGUUUUAUAAUAGCUAGCCUUGUUUCCUAGAUUUCUGCCUAGUUUAGAUUUACUCUAAUUAGUAGGUAAUUAGGGGCUUAGAGAUUGCUCUUCUACUUAACUAGGCAGGCCUAGGCCUAUAUACUAAAGCAACCCUACUAUUACGCCUAGUUUUAUAGUUAGCACCUAAAGUCCUACUAUUAAAGUUUUAGUAGUAGGCAAAAUUUAGGGUCUAUAGAUAGCUAGCACUGCUAAACUAUUUAAUAGAUCUUAGGGGACAGCCCUACCUAGCAUCCGCUCCUAGUAAGCGUAGCAAAGCGUAGGUUUUCUCUACUUAAGGUAUGUAUAUGGCGAGUUUAAACAUAUAGAAACGCCUAUUAGGCUUUGUUGUAGACUAUUCCUUAAGAAACUUAGUAGGGGCAAUUAAAUUAGUUGCUAGUUGUAACUAGUGCCUUGUGUGCUAUUAUGCUAGUAGCUAGAAUCACUUCUGCGAUUUCUUAUCACGUACUUUCUGCCUCCUUUUAGGGGUAGUGCUUAUGCGCUUUAGCGUAUUAGGUAUUAGGAUUGUUACCUAGUUAAUUCUGCUAGUAGUUAUAUGCUUAUCUUAAAGAUUAAGCUAUGCAUGUCUAAGUAUAAGCAAUUAUACUAUAAAACUACGAAUAGCUUAUUAAAUUAGUUAUUAUUUAUUUAAUAGUACCUUACUACUUAGAUAACUAUAGUAAUUCUAGAGCUAAUACAUGCUAAAAACCCUAACUUUAGAAGGGGUGUAUUUAUUAGAUAAAAAACUAACGCCCUUUAGGGCUUCUUAGUAAUUUAUAAUAACUUUACAGAUCGCAUAGCCUUGCGCUAGCGAUAGUUUAUUUAAAUUUCUGCCCUAUUAACUUUU
rnacentral:rRNA from 1 species